CAUAGAAUCACUUUGGUUGGAAAGGAAUUCAAGAUCACUGAGUCCAACUAUAGGUCAAGAAGGGCACCUCUUUCAUUAUGAAUAUUCAUUAUGUUUUUUGCCAAAGCGAUUUGGGUAUUCUGAACCAUCCAAGCGAAGAUUUCACUAACGGAAGACAGAAGUAUUCUUACAGAGCAUGUUAAAAUUAAUUAACCUUCAAGAGCAGAAAACCAUGAGCAAGGAGAUUCAAAGAUAAAUUAAGGCUGUAUCAGGCUGCUUCACCAAAAGCAGGUCCAGUUCCCUGUCAUGCUCUUCAAGAAGAUCAGAAUAACAUAUUAAAUGAGAGUGGUGACCUGGGACAUUGCAAAGGAAGGUUAAUAUCUGUGCUACAACACUUAGAUGCACACAUCUAUACAUGAAGGAAGGCAUACAAAAUAUAUGUUAUUUCAAGUAUCUCAGGGAAAGCAGGGGCAAUUGGCCUACACUAUAAACAAGAUGUCCCAUGGUUAAAAAAAUAGUCAGUACACUUGAAAAA